GGAGAAUAAGAGAAGACUCACCUUCCUCUUCCAGAGCUGUGGAAACAUGCGGCCAACCAGCUGUCUAUGGUGCCAGCAUGUUGAAAAACAUGGAAAGUGUGUGACAACUCGGCAAUGCUUGGUGUGACUCGGUUUCUGAAAUAUGUCGAGACAGCGGCUUCCAGUGAAAUUAAACUUGUCAGCAAGAGAUUAAAUUUCACCGUGACCUCGAAAGGAAAUCCACAAACUGAAGAGACAAAUCACAUCCCACCAGGACAGCGUGUGGACCAAAAAAACAGAGAGACUCAUACCACCCGAGGAUAUUCAUGCAUUUCUGAAGAGGGCACGACGGC